AGCGAACGCUGGCGGCAGGCCUAACACAUGCAAGUCGAACGAAGUCUUCGGACUUAGUGGCGGACGGGUGAGUAACACGUGGGAACGUGCCUUUAGGUUCGGAAUAACUCAGGGAAACUUGUGCUAAUACCGAAUGUGCCCUUCGGGGGAAAGAUUUAUCGCCAUUAGAGCGGCCCGCGUCUGAUUAGAUAGUUGGUGAGGUAAAGGCUCACCAAGGCUACGAUCAGUAGCUGGUCUGAGAGGAUGACCAGCCACAUUGGGACUGAGACACGGCCCAAACUCCUACGGGAGGCAGCAGUGGGGAAUCUUGCGCAAUGGGCGAAAGCCUGACGCAGCCAUGCCGCGUGGAUGAUGAAGGUCUUAGGAUUGUAAAAUCCUUUCACCGGUGAAGAUAAUGACUGUAGCCGGAGAAGAAGCCCCGGCUAACUUCGUGCCAGCCGCCGCGGUAAAAC
rnacentral:rRNA from 1 species